GCUUCCCUCUGCCGGCGUGCCUAAUACAUGCAAGUCGAGCGAACGGACGAGAAGCUUGCUUCUCUGAUGUUAGCGGCGGACGGGUGAGUAACACGUGGAUAACCUACCUAUAAGACUGGGAUAACUUCGGGAAACCGGAGCUAAUACCGGAUAAUAUUUUGAACCGCAUGGUUCAAAAGUGAAAGACGGUCUUGCUGUCACUUAUAGAUGGAUCCGCGCUGCAUUAGCUAGUUGGUAAGGUAACGGCUUACCAAGGCAACGAUGCAUAGCCGACCUGAGAGGGUGAUCGGCCACACUGGAACUGAGACACGGUCCAGACUCCUACGGGAGGCAGAAGUAGGGAAUCUUCCGCAAUGGGCGAAAGCCUGACGGAGCAACGCCGCGUGAGUGAUGAAGGUCUUCGGAUCGUAAAACUCUGUUAUUAGGGAAGAACAUAUGUGUAAGUAACUGUGCACAUCUUGACGGUACCUAAUCAGAAAGCCACGGCUAACUACGUG
rnacentral:rRNA from 1 species